CACGUAGGCGGCUUUUUAAGUCAGGGGUGAAAUCCUGGAGCUCAACUCCAGAACUGCCUUUGAUACUGAGAGGCUUGAGUCCGGGAGAGGUGAGUGGAACUGCGAGUGUAGAGGUGAAAUUCGUAGAUAUUCGCAAGAACACCAGUGGCGAAGGCGGCUCACUGGCCCGGUACUGACGCUGAGGUGCGAAAGCGUGGGGAGCAAACA
rnacentral:rRNA from 1 species